rnacentral:rRNA from 1 species
UACGUAGGGACCAAGCGUUGUUCGGAUUUACUGGGCGUAAAGGGCGCGUAGGCGGCUUAACAAGUCACUUGUGAAAUCUCCGGGCUUAACUCGGAACGGCCAAGUGAAACUGUUAUGCUAGAGUGCAGAAGGGGCAAUCGGAAUUCUUGGUGUAGCGGUGAAAUGCGUAGAUAUCAAGAGGAACACCUGAGGUGAAGACGGGUUGCUGGGCUGACACUGACGCUGAUGCGCGAAAGCCAGGGGAGCAAACAGG